rnacentral:rRNA from 1 species
GUCGAGCGACAGAUAAGGAGCUUGCUCCUUUGACGUUAGCGGCGGACGGGUGAGUAACACGUGGGUAACCUACCUAUAAGACUGGAAUAACUCCGGGAAACCGGGGCUAAUGCCGGAUAACAUUUAGAACCGCAUGGUUCUAAAGUGAAAGAUGGUUUUGCUAUCACUUAUAGAUGGACCCGCGCCGUAUUAGCUAGUUGGUAAGGUAACGGCUUACCAAGGCAACGAUACGUAGCCGACCUGAGAGGGUGAUCGGCCACACUGGAACUGAGACACGGUCCAGACUCCUACGGGAGGCAGCAGUAGGGAAUCUUCCGCAAUGGGCGAAAGCCUGACGGAGCAACGCCGCGUGAGUGAUGAAGGUCUUCGGAUCGUAAAACUCUGUUAUUAGGGAAGAACAAAUGUGUAAGUAACUAUGCACGUCUUGACGGUACCUAAUCAGAAAGCCACGGCUAACUACGUGCCAGCAGCCGCGGUAAUACGUAGGUGGCAAGCGUUAUCCGGAAUUAUUGGGCGUAAAGCGCGCGUAGGCGGUUUCUUAAGUCUGAUGUGAAAGCCCACGGCUCAACCGUGGAGGGUCAUUGGAAACUGGGAAACUUGAGUGCAGAAGAGGAAAGUGGAAUUCCAUGUGUAGCGGUGAAUGCGCAGAGAUAUGGAGGACACCAGUGGCGAAGGCGACUUUCUGGUCUGUAACUGACGCUGAUGUGCGAAAGCGGUGGGGAUCAACAGGAUUAGAUACCC